AACGAACGCUGGCGGCAUGCCUAACACAUGCAAGUCGAACGCCAUGGCUUCGGCCAUGGAGUGGCGCACGGGUGAGUAACGCGUGGGAACCUGCCCAGCAGUAUGGGACAACCGCGGGAAACUGCGGCUAAUACCGUAUACGCCCGUCUUUGGGAGACCAGGGGCGGGGAAAGAUUGAUCGCUGUUGGAGGGGCCCGCGUCGGAUUAGGUAGUUGGUGGGGUAAAGGCCUACCAAGCCUGCGAUCCGUAGCUGGUCUGAGAGGAUGAUCAGCCACACUGGGACUGAGACACGGCCCAGACUCCUACGGGAGGCAGCAGUGGGGAAUAUUGGAUAAUGGGCGCAAGCCUGAUCCAGCAAUGCCGCGUGAGUGAUGAAGGCCUUAGGGUUGUAAAGCUCUUUCACACGCGACGAUGAUGACGGUAGCGUGAGAAGAAGCCCCGGCUAACUCCGUGCCAGCAGCCGCAGUAA
rnacentral:rRNA from 1 species